rnacentral:lncRNA from 1 species
AUUGGCCUAAUAAAUCUGCAAAUAUCUCAAGAACCAUUGAAAAUAUCCAAAAUCUAAUGAUAGAUUUCAUUCAACUUAACUUCUUAGGAAUCUUUUAAGACAAAUCCUAUCAACAUUGAAUCAGAAGUUUGGGCUGUACUCUAUUUUGACAUUUUACCAUUGUUUUGAAAUACAUUUUAUGUGCAAAUGAGAGAGCAACAGUAUCACCAAAUAAAUUUUUUUUGCACUAUAAUCAUAAAGAUCUCAGGAAGACAAGUUAAACAAAAAAAUUUGGUCAAAAUUCAAAUACUGGGGCUGAACAAUUUGAAUUUGAAAUUUUCACUAAAGUGUGUUAAGUGGAGAUCAAACAUUAUUUUGAGUGCUACUGAACUCUCCAUGAUUCUUUUGAUUUUUUUCAUUAUAAAUAUGUGGAUAUGGAUAAUGUAUAUGAAUUAUUAUUUUUGUAGAUAUAUAAAUAUGACUGAAAAUAUAUAAAACAAAUGUGUUGGUCUUCUUUGUAUUAAUAACUUGUUUUAUGGCAAUAAUAGGAUCUCCACAGUUAUUUCUAAAUAUACCUAUUUAUUAUUGAUUCUGUUAUUAAAAAUAUGUAGAUAUGUGUGAAUGUUUGUAUUUAAAU